GUGGCGAAGGCGACUCUNUGGUCUGUAACUGACGCUGAGGCACGAAAGCGUGGGUAGCAAACAGGAUUAGAUACCCUGGUAGUNCACGCCGUAAACGAUGAGUGCUAAGUGUUGGAGGGUNUCCGCCCUUCAGUGCUGCAGUUAACGCAUUAAGCACUCCGCCUGGGGAGUACGACCGCAAGAUUGAAACUCAAAGGGAUUGACGGGGACCCGCACAAGCGGUGGAGCAUGUGGUUUAAUUCGAAGCAACGCGAAGAACCUUACCAAGUCUUGACAUCCUUUGACCACUCUAGAGAUAGAGCUUUCCCUUCGGGGACAAAGUGACAGGUGGUGCAUGGUUGUCGUCAGCUCGUGUCGUGAGAUGUUGGGUUAAGUCCCGCAACGAGCGCAACCCUUAUUACUAGUUGCCAGCAUUGAGUUGGGCACUCUAGUGAGACUGCCGGUGACAAACCGGAGGAAGGUGGGGAUGACGUCAAAUCAUCAUGCCCCUUAUGACUUGGGCUCACACGUGCUACAAUGGAUGGUACAACGAGCAGCGAACUCGCGAGGGUAAGCGAAUCUCUUAAAGCCAUUCUCAGUUCGGAUUGUAGGCUGCAACUCGCCUACAUGAAGCCGGAAUCGCUAGUAAUCGCGGAUCAGCACGCCGCGGUGAAUACGUUCCCGGGUCUUGUACACACCGCCCGUCACACCACGAGAGUUUGUAACACCCAAAGUC
rnacentral:rRNA from 1 species